rnacentral:rRNA from 1 species
GAUGAACGCUAGCGGCAGGCCUAAUACAUGCAAGCCGAACGGCAAGUCUUUUAGCAAUAGAAGACCUAGAGUGGCGUAAGGGUGCGUAACACGUAUGCAAUCUGCCCUCAACAGGAGGAUAGCUCCCCGAAAGGGGAAUUAAGCCUCCAUAGGAUCGUAAUGUGGCAUCACAUAGCGAUUAAACUACCAGGGGUUGAGGAUGAGCAUGCGCAUGAUUAGUUAGUUGGCGGGGUAACGGCCCACCAAGACGAUGAUCAUUAGGGGAACUGAGAGGUUGAUCCCCCACACUGGCACUGAGAUACGGGCCAGACUUCCUACGGGAGGCAGCAGUAGGGAAUAUUGGGACAAAUGGGGUGGCAAGCCUGAUCCAGCCAUGCCGCGUGCAGGAAG